rnacentral:lncRNA from 1 species
UGAUGUCUCAUUCACAGCCGCCUUUGAAACCUCUCUUCUCUCAAAACUCUCUCAAACUCUAGCCUAUCUCACUGUUGCCUACCUUAAGCUUAUCGCAAAUCAUGGCUAUUCCGGUCAUGAUACACUUAUAUUCACCCUCUAUUACUCCUGUGAGUUCAAUACUGGAAGAACCAAGGUCUUGACCUUGAUGUCUCCCUUUCAGAUCUUCUCAAAUCUAUGGAUCUAUGGCUUCUAUGGCUACUAUUCCAGCAUAUUCGAGCAAUAUGAGUUUUUUCGACUCGGGAUCGGACUUUCCUCAAGACCUUUCUCAUUUCUAGGGGUUUUUCGACAAUCCAUGGCUAUUCGAGGUUCUUUAUGAUUUUUCUUUUCUUAGAUCUGUCACAUAUCUAUACUCCAGCUGGGUUUUCAAACGAUUUCCCAAUUUUUCUUUCAAAAAAUUAUCUUUUUUAAGAACUUUCUUUCCCGAUCUAGGGUUUUCUAAAAAUGUUUUGGUGAUUUCUGACUUUCCUUUUCCUUUACGUGU